UGAGGAAUAUUGGUCAAUGGGCGAGAGCCUGAACCAGCCAAGUCGCGUGAAGGAAGAAGGUUCUAUGGAUUGUAAACUUCUUUUGUAAGGGAAUAAAAAGUAGUACGUGUACUAUAUUGUAUGUACUUUACGAAUAAGGAUCGGCUAACUCCGUGCCAGCAGCCGCGGUAAUACGGAGGAUCCAAGCGUUAUCCGGAUUUAUUGGGUUUAAAGGGUGCGUAGGCGGACUUAUAAGUCAGCGGUGAAAGUUUGCAGCUUAACUGUAAAAUUGCCGUUGAAACUGUUAGUCUUGAGUGUAAAUGAGGUAGGCGGAAUGUGUUGUGUAGCGGUGAAAUGCUUAGAUAUAACACAGAACACCAAUUGCGAAGGCAGCUUACUGGGAUACAACUGACGCUGAGGCACGAAAGCGUGGGGAUCAAACAGG
rnacentral:rRNA from 1 species